rnacentral:lncRNA from 1 species
AAGAAUUUAGCUAGGCUCGCUCUAAUCUAGGAGUUUUGACUAAGUAGUAUCUUGAACCAACCUACAAGCCGUUAUGUGCUGGGGCUGAUUGAGAAUAGUUGGAGAAAGCAGAGACCACUCUAAUCAAGAGGCGGCUACUAUUCAACUCAUAAUGCGAGCAACUAUUCGUGUUCGGCUCAGAUCAUGAGAAGUGGUCUGUGC